AGCAGCCGCGGUAAUUCCAGCUCCAAUAGCGUAUAUUAAAGUUGUUGCAGUUAAAAAGCUCGUAGUUGAAUUUCGAGACCGGUUUACUGGUCGUGCUUUUGUACGUACUGGUAUAAUCGGUUUCUCCUUUCUGACGAACUAUAAUGCCAUUAAUUUGGUGUUGCAGGGAAUCUGGACUGUUACUUUGAAAAAAU
rnacentral:rRNA from 1 species